rnacentral:lncRNA from 1 species
AGUUUACCAAUCGCGAAAGCUUGUUGAGACCUCUCAGGAAAACGCCAAAACUUGCCACUCGUCGUCAACAACACGUUCGCUAUGCAUCCUCUAGCGCGAUCCCACAUACCAGCAUGGCGCCGGACGGUAGACGGCGCUGUGAUCGCAUUAUGGCAUCGCCCUCAAUAAAACGGUCUAUA